AGUGGAGGAAGAGAAAGACAGGAUUAUGAGAGGGACCAGUCCUCCAGGAGGGCAUGCCCCCCACACAGACUUCUCUCAGACAAGUGCAACAGCCCAGCAGGUCUGAAUGCUAAUAUACACAUUGCUCACGGAGAAUAUGUUAAGAAAGACUAUGAAUUCAGCACGAAUGACCAUUGCCAACAAUCACGGGAAGAUAGCAAAUUGUGAUGAAAAUGUGGCAUGAGAUGGCUUUGGAAUUGGGCUGCAGCAAAUGGGAAAGGGGAGUCAGAGGGGCGAGUGGUUGAGUGGUCUGCAUGGCCCCGUGGGCCUGUUCCCGCCUGGCCGUGCACAUCAUUUGAGCCUUGUGAGGCUUCUAGUCAGUUGCCGUGGCCAGUCCUGGGAGGCCAGCCUCCCUGCACCUUGGUCUGUGGGCACCUGCAGAGGGUCCCAGGAUGCCAUCCAGCUGCAUUAGCAGUGGGGCUCACCUUCAAAUCAGCUCUGCUGCUGCUUGUUCCAGGUGGACUGGCACUGGGUGAGACCCCCACAACAGGGAUAUAACACUGCAGGCAGAAACUUGGAUGGAGGCAGUUUUAUCUAAUGACUCUUAACUGGCAGCCGCAUCAAAACAGGGGAGCCUGACUGUGCUUGUGCUUCUGUGCUCCGGGCUCCUGCACCUUCCAAGAACCCUGGGGCUGGUCACCUAUAGUAUGUCCUCUCAAGGCCACUGCUCCUGUUUUGGUUUUACAGACUGUUGAGCCAUUCAUCCUUACUGUGCAGCCAGGACAAAGGACACCCAGACUCGGGAUCUGUGGGCACAAAGGUGGGGCAGCUGUGGCAGGAGGAAACGAGUUGUCUACCCAGACGACACCCACACAACAGGAGGCUGAGGAGGGAGACCACUGUUGUGAAGAACAUGGACCAAGGACCCUCAGAGCCACUCCAGAAAUAAAGGAGAAUGAGUCAUUAAAGACUGGCUGUGAAAAUGUAAUCUCUGACAGAAGCUUGCAGAAAUGACGGACUCGUCUGUGGCCAGAACUCACGUGUCCACUGGCUGCAAAUACACUGGGUGACCUGGACCAGGCGGACUCCAUGCCUGCAGGUCUCCAUCAUUUUCACUGAAGGCCUCAGAAGAGUAAAGGAGUUACUACUAACUGUCAAAGGCAUACUUGGCUGUAGUAGUGCUGGCCUCAGAAGCUCAAAGCAGUCGCAGGCAUCUUGGUGCUUGUCCCCAGCCUGGGACCCUGCAGAAGGCUGGGCGAACUCAACGUGCUCACUGCCUCCAGGACAGGUGGGUCUCUGCUGCCUUGUCAGUCUGUGGGGAAUGUUCGCAGAGCCAAACAUUUUCCAAUCCGAUGGUUUUUAAUGAAGGGUUUCCAACGCUGACUUGAUAUAUGCAAUUUUUUUUAACCUCCUUUGACAUGAUAAAUGUUGCCAUCCACCCUGUUCAGCUGUGAGACUGUUGACUGUGACACAAGGCAAGGCCUGGGAAAUUCUGUCGCCUGCUAAUUGAUCUUUGGGAAAGAAGUCAGGCCACAUUUCCCACUCUGCUUAUCGCCUUGGGAGGCCCCCGGACUUUCUGAGGCGGGUGCGGCUUGAGGGGCCACUCCCUGUGACACGUGCCCAGCUCCCGCGUCCAGGCUGCCUGGCUGGUACAGGAUGGACAGACCUCCCUCCCCAGAAGUGCACUGCCGGGCGCCAGCUGUCGCUUACAGUAGAGCUCGUUAAUCUUGUGUCCUCAGAUGGACGGCCUCGUGCACUGGACUGCCGUGGGCAGACGGGCCCAUUAAAGGCAGAUCUGAUUCUGCCCACGUGGACGCCACCCCCAUUAGUCCAUCUGCAUGCCUCUGUACAAAGUAGGGACACAGCGGUCCACCUCCACUUCAAGCGGAAAUGCUGAGACAUGAAUGAUGGAAGGAGGCAGCAGCAAAGAUGACAUUGAGACGCACAGAACGGGAGGUUCCAGCUGAGUGACUUUCCGUUGGUCUCCAUCUCACAGGGAAAAUCUUCCAUGACUUGUUUGGGAAACCAGCUGUGUUACAUUUUCCCCUUUUCCCAAAGCAUUUGGAUGUGCACGUGGGAAACACCCCACACGUACUCUCAGAGGCAGAGGGUCUGUGGCUAAGCAGCCAAUGAGGAAUUCUGUGUGAGUCACAGAUACACCACGGGACUACUUAACAGCACCGCUUUUAAAAACUAAUAAGACUGGUCGAUUUUCAGGGAUGUUCUGCAAAGGAGUAUUUUAUUUUCUAACUAGAUCUUUGCUGGAAAACUCAUUCCAUGAGCUAAAAAAUCUCCCCCAUGGCCUCAUGACGGACUUCCUAACAAUGGUAAUUAAAAGUUCCUUUGAAAAUAUAACUUCUUGAGUCCUGUUACUCUGGGAGAAUGAAGGGUGAAGGUAUGCAUAGAAAUCAGGACUUCAACUGUGAAAAUCUGAGUUGUACACAGAAAGAAGGUGGGGAAAGGGAGAAUGCUCCCCCAGGCGUGAGCUAGGGAGGCGUCACUUUCCUCAUCUGACCUGAGCCCAUGCUCUGCUGCUGUCCUAACCAUCCUAACCCCCCUGCCCCGACAUACACACACGCUCUGGGCAGAGGGUGAGGCUGCAGCUGUGGAGUGCGGUGUGCAGGGAGGGCCCAAACUGGCUGUGAUUGGGCGGCUGCAGCUGCGCCGGGGUCACCCCACCCUGCGCCUCCCCCCAGAUCCAGGCUCUCCCUGCCAGACCCUCAAAGAAGCAACAGGAGGUCAGGCGAGUCUCAGGCCAGGAAGCCCGGGAACGAAAAAGUUUUAGCCUCGCAGGCAGGAUCCUGGCACUCCAAACCCAUCACAGCUUCAAUUUUGCAGAAAAGCACAACCAGUCUGGGGC